AUUGAACGCUGGCGGCAUGCCUUACACAUGCAAGUCGAACGGCAGCACGGGAGCAAUCCUGGUGGCGAGUGGCGAACGGGUGAGUAAUAUAUCGGAGCGUGCCCGGUCGUGGGGAUAACGUAGCGAAAGCUACGCUAAUACCGCAUACGAUCUACGGAUGAAAGCGGGGGAUCGCAAGACCUCGCGCGAUUGGAGCGGCCGAUAUCAGAUUAGGUAGUUGGUGAGGUAAAGGCUCACCAAGCCGACGAUCUGUAGCUGGUCUGAGAGGACGACCAGCCACACUGGGACUGAGACACGGCCCAGACUCCUACGGGAGGCAGCAGUGGGGAAUUUUGGACAAUGGGCGCAAGCCUGAUCCAGCAAUGCCGCGUGCAGGAUGAAGGCCU
rnacentral:rRNA from 1 species